rnacentral:rRNA from 1 species
GGAUGCGAUCAUACCAGCAAUAAUGCACCGGAUCCCAUCAGAACUCUAAAGUUAAGCUUGCUUGGGCGAGAGCAGUACUAGGAUGGGUGACCUCUUGGGAAGUCAUCGUGUUGCACCCCUC